GUGUUCAUUUCAGCAACACAUAUGCUACAAUGCAGAAAUAAUUAGCACAGCCCCUGUGCAAGAACAGCAUGCAAAUUCAUGAAGUAUUCCAUAUUGUA
ensembl:snRNA U6 U6 spliceosomal RNA